rnacentral:rRNA from 1 species
UACGAGAGGCCCAAACAUUAUUCGGAAUUACUGGGCUUAAAGAGUUCGUAGGCGGCGCGGAAAGUAGGGUGUGAAAGCCCUCGGCUUAACCGAGGAAUUGCGCUCUAAACUGCCGUGCUAGAGGAAGCUAGAGGUGAGCGGAACUGAUGGUGGAGCGGUGAAAUGUGUUGAUAUUGGAAGGAACACCGGAGGCGAAAGCGGUGUACUGGGGCUGGUCUGACGCUGAGGCACGAAAGCCAGGGGAGCGAACGGG